GGGCCCGUGAGCCGAGGCCGCAGCCUGGGCCGCGAUCCCUUUCUAUUUUCUUGUCUCCUGGCUGAAGCCGCCCCAGCUGUCUCCCGGGUCCAGGAUACAGCCAUUUCUCCAGUGAGCAUUUUUAAGUACCUACUGUGUGUCUGUUCUGGAGUCACUACAGUGACGUGUGAGGUGAGCUACGAAGGGUGAGGCCUGCCCCCGGACUGUCCUGCAGGGCAGGCCCUGGGUGGUGGAAAUAUCAUCAUGGACAAACCAGAUCAAGCAUUUCCCCCCUGUGAACUUGCAUUCUGAGUGGAAGACAGACAAUAAACACAAGCACCAAGAUAUUCCUAAUGCUCUGCCUGGCAGUGGUCUGCACUGUGAAGAAGACAGGGGUCGAGGUACAGGGAUAUGGCAGGGGUGACAUCUCAGACACAGUGGUCACAUGCACUUUCCAAGGCAGGUCUGGGCAGAUUAAGAAACAGACCGAGGUUGAAGGCCCAGCCCAAAGCCGCCCAACAAAUCCAAGGCUAGAACCUGGGUCUGCAGCACAGGACCCUUGACCCACAGCUGGUGGAGCAGCCACAGAAGUCCCCUUUACCUCUGGCUAAAGGAUGCGCCAACCUAAGCCGCCUGCCCUCAUCUCCGCCUUGGCCUGUGCACUGGAACGCAGUCUGGAUUGGAGGGAGGAAGGGUUGCGGCUGCCAGGGUAACGCAGCUUCCAUUCCUGACAUCCGCCAGGGCCUCACAUCCACCUCACAUCUCUCUCACCCCUCCCAACCGCCUAGCAAGGUCAGUAGCAGCCCCAUAAUUUUCACGGAGGUGAGAUUCACGUAACAGAAAACGAACCGUUUUAAGGUGAACAAUUCAGUGGUAUCUAGCACAUGCACAGUGUACACUCCCACCCGUACACAGCUGCAAAUCAUUUUCACCAGCCCAGAAAGAAACUCAUGUCCAUUAAGCAGUUGCUCCCCGUCCCCCCUCACCCCAGCCCCUGGAAACCACCAGUCUACUUUCCAUCUCUAUGGAUUUGCAUAUUCUGGAUGCUCCAUGUAUCCAGACCUUUGUGCCUGGCUUGUGUCACGUAGCCUGUAUUCAAGGUUCACCCACAUUAUAGCACAGAUCCGUAUUCUGUUUCUUUUUAUGGCUGAAUACUGUUCCAUUGUAUGUAAGCAUCUCCAUCGUACAGACGAGGAAACAGACUCGGGGCAAACAAGCAACACCCAGAGGUCACAGCCUGUCGGUGGCAGAGCAGGCCUGGAUCCCAGCCUGAGUCCACACCGUGGAAACCUGGCCACGCGGGCCCGCACCCCAGAGGGCCCCAGCCUAGCCCUGCGUCCCAGGGUUGGGGAGGGCUGCCCCUGCAGGCGGAUGCGGGCUCCCCCCCGGUGUGGCCCAGCCUCUUCUCAGCACAGGUUCACAGGUGUGGGCAAGGUGGCCUCCCACUCACCCUGCUCCAGGCUGGGCCGGAGCGUGGCCGAAGAGGCCACCUCCUCGAGUGGAAUUCCAGGUCCCGGCCAACCGCAGGUCAGGGCACUCCUGGGCCCCAAACCCUCCUUCUCAACUGAGUCAUGAGGCUGUGAGGCGCCUCAGCCCUGGGGCAGCCUGGUGGGCCGGCCAGGUCAGGAGCACUGUCCCCAGACAGCCGAUGGUCCUGGGCAGAGCUGCUCACCCACCCAGCAAGUGGAUACCUCAAUGCACAAACGUUUAUUAAGCACCCAUUCUAU